rnacentral:rRNA from 1 species
GACAGAGGGUGCAAACGUUGUUCGGAAUUACUGGGCGUAAAGCGCGUGUAGGCGGCUACGUAAGUCGGGCGUGAAAUCCCACGGCUCAACCGUGGAAGUGCACUCGAAACUGCAUAGCUAGAGUCCUGGAGAGGAAGGUGGAAUGCUUGGUGUAGAGGUGAAAUUCGUAGAUAUCAAGCGGAACACCGGUGGCGAAGGCGGCCUUCUGGACAGUGACUGACGCUGAGACGCGAAAGCGUGGGGAGCAAACAGG